CGCGGCCUAUCAGCUUGUUGGUGGGGUAAUGGCCUACCAAGGCGACGACGGGUAGCCGGCCUGAGAGGGUGACCGGCCACACUGGGACUGAGACACGGCCCAGACUCCUACGGGAGGCAGCAGUGGGGAAUAUUGCACAAUGGGCGCAAGCCUGAUGCAGCGACGCCGCGUGAGGGAUGACGGCCUUCGGGUUGUAAACCUCUUUCAGUAGGGAAGAAGCGAAAGUGACGGUACCUGCAGAAGAAGCGCCGGCUAACUACGUGCCAGCAGCCGCGGUAAUACGUAGGGCGCAAGCGUUAUCCGGAAUUAUUGGGCGUAAAGAGCUCGUAGGCGGUUUGUCGCGUCUGCUGUGAAAGACCGGGGCUCAACUCCGGUUCUGCAGUGGGUACGGGCAGACUAGAGUGCAGUAGGGGAGACUGGAAUUCCUGGUGUAGCGGUGAAAUGCGCAGAUAUCAGGAGGAACACCGAUGGCGAAGGCAGGUCUCUGGGCUGUAACCGACGCUGAGGAGCGAAAGCAUGGGGAGCGAACAGGAUUAGAUACCCUGGUAGUCCAUGCCGUAAACGUUGGGCACUAGGUGUGGGGGACAUUCCACGUUUUCCGCGCCGUAGCUAACGCAUUAAGUGCCCCGCCUGGGGAGUACGG
rnacentral:rRNA from 1 species